rnacentral:lncRNA from 1 species
AAAUUUACUUUAAGAAUAGGUAUUUAAAAUUAGAAUCAUCGGCUCAAAUAUAAAUAAAUAAUAAAAUAAAAAUGGAGGGCGUUAACGGCGUUAAAAAGAUGGAAGUAGAGAAAGAGAGAGAGAGAAAUGGGGCCCGCACAAGUGGACGGAGGAGGGAGGAGAGUGUCAGGGGCACUGAAUGGACGUGACAAAUGGCCUUCCCGAGGUGAAAAAUAAAAGAGAGAGAGAGAGAGAGAUUAGAUAAGAGGUAAAACUUUCCUUUCAUUUCCUUUGUCUCUCUGUGUUUCUAUUUUCUACAAAAAUUAAGACCAAAAAAAGUAGUGAGAAUGAAAUCAGAGGCUUCUUCAAAUUGGUGUUUGGGAGUGGGACCCUUUCCUUUCCUUCUUCCAGUUCUUUGCAGCUCUUCCUUUUCCCCUUCCCCUGUCAAUUCACUCCCUGCGCUUCUCUCUCAUUUACCAAUGUGUUUAAUUUUUCCAUUUCUUUUCCACAUUUGCCCCUCCC